ensembl:lncRNA
UUUGACAAAAAGGCAUUUUUUAAUGGGUUUUUUUUUUCUUUUACUGCCCAUCAUUCAGAUUAUUGAGGAUCCUUUCAAUAAAUUCAAUAAAAAAACACAACUGUAAUCGCUUUUUACUCGUCCGCCACUUCACUGGUCCUACAGAAGCACAGGUACCACUGCUUUUGCAUGGCAGCGUGAACAUUACAGGAUAAAUCAUGCUGAGCUUCUGUAGUUGGGCAAACAAAUACGCAGAACAGGGCCCCUUUAGGAUACAUAUCUUCUGAUGUGGGUGGGGCUUCUGUCCUGAGAUGACCACAAUAGGGAUAUAUGCUAUUAAUGACAUCGUACAGUUGUAAGAGUAGAAAGGAACUAAAGCACUUUGAGAUUUUGGCUCUUGGUGAUUACUUGUAAAAAUGUUGAACUCUUUAUUUGAAACGUUGGCCAUGUUUAACAUUAACAUCCAUCCCACUAACAGAAUAUAUAAAUGGCAGAAAAUAAGGAGCAGCGUAAAGGGUCCCUUUUGAGGACACUGUUAUGUGUGUUCGCUGUACUCCGUGGAAAGGAUUUUGUAUUUGUACCCCACACACGCCUAAAUCACACCCCAGAGGAUCAUGUGAGAGCACUUCAGUUAGAGGAGGUGCUGGCUGGUACUGUAAAUGAUAAAGUAGCUGCAAUACAACAAAAAUAAGGACAAAAACAAAAGAUGAAUGUUUACUUGCAGUGUUUGACCAAAGUUUUCAGAACUGCUUAUUUUGUAGAGUUUCAGCUCUAUGAAUAGCUGUCAGCAGUCCUUCAGUUUUCUGCAUAUUGAACUUUUUAUAGAAACAGAGCACUCCUACAGCAAAUUUAUACUGCUACAGGUGUAAAGAGUACAGUAAACAGAACACAGACAAAAAAAAAUACCAGAACCAAUUAGCAUCAGCAUUAUUAUUAUUAUUAUUAUUGUUGUUGUUGAUCCCACAGCGAGCGUCAAAAGAUGAAGAACAGAACAUGUCUACAUUCUCUUGGUUUAUAUCAUCUAGAUGUCCUUUCAGUCCUUUUGUUUAACAGUCUGAUGUCCAAUCAGGUAUCAGAUCCUCAAAGACCUGGAAGUUCACUGGGUUUCCUCCUUUAAAGCUUUUCUACAAAAAAAAAAAUAUGAUGAGCGACGAUCACUGGCAGCGUCAGAUCCAACCAACCACGUCAUCAGAUCAAUAAUAAAUCAACAAAAUAAAAGUACAAUCAGGAUACGUAUACGUACAUCUUUAUAUAGAUUUAUAGACUUAGAUCUCUCCCAGGAAUAGAAGCACUAAUAUAUACAUACACAACUGCUGUGGGGCUCAUUGGGUCCAAUCAAAAAGAGAGGCUUAAAGACGAAUCAGAAUGAAGCUGCAGGAAGUCACAAAAAGUACACAAAAGUCUCUCACAGGCAGCUUCAAAGUAGAACUUUAGAAAUACUGAGGCCCAGAGCUCCUCGCACCAAAGAAAUUAGGAGCUACGAACCAAAAUAAAAAAUUUACCGGUUGAAUUAACUUAAAUUUUCCUGCUUUAAUGUCGUCUCAGCAGUUUCAGGUAUAAUUUUGGUAGAAAGUAUCAUAAUUGCUAUCAUGUUAUAAUUUUCUGUCCAAUAGGCACAGACUGUACAUAAAAGAUGGAUGUAGCCUCUGAAAUCACCCACUGCUGGCACGAGCAAGAGGGCAAUCUGAAAAUCCCAGAAACACUGCACAGCUUAAACUAACCCUCACUUUGCUUUAUGAGACUAAUAGGAAGAAGAAUUAAAAUGAAAAUAACGUUGUAUUCAAAGCAGUGACAGAGCCCAACAACUCAUCAGGAAAGGGAGAUCACAGAUAAGUAAGAAGUAUGGUUGUUUGUCCACAGACUUCUUUUUCUAACAACAUUUGUCCCCCGUGUUGGCUGUUAGUGAGAAUGCAGGUAUUCACUUAAAUAUAGAAGCUACGUCCAUGUUUUAUAUAAUUUUUAAACCAAAAUUUUAAGUUUUAAGAAUCAGAGGAAAUAAUUUAUUAGAAUGUAAAAAUUUUGAGCUAAGAAUUAAAACAAUGUGGAAAAAUUAAUAAUUCAUUAAUCAAUUAUUUAAAAAAAAAAAAAAAAAAAGACCCCCCAACACAAAAAGAAAAAAAAACCUUUUUCUUUGAUUUCUAAAAUUGUAAUUUGACUAUUUAUGGAUUUUGGACAUUUGACUGUUUUGUGCCAUUUCCUGAUCUUUUAUAAACCUAAUUAUUGUUGGAUUAAUCAACAGAAGAACUACCACAUUAAAUUAUUAUAAAAGUAAUCAGCUGUUGCUCCAACAAAAAUUAUUUUAACCACUCAAAUUCGCCAAAUCUUUAACUGAGGACAAUCUGAGUCCAACAUGCUAACAGCUCACAAAUGAAGAAGAUGGGCAACUUUUAGAAGCAACACAUCGGUUUAGCAGCUGUAUUAGCAGGAAACACCCAAGUAAUGAGGCUGCCAUGGUAAAAUAUGCUAAGCUACAAAUUAUUUCUUUAGUCAACUUUUAUUAACCUGCACUUGAUGCUAUAUUUUUCUGGUUCAAGCACAGGAAGUGAGCGCCCCCAAUUUCUCAUGGCCUUAGACUGAAGUGCAUCAGAAGACAAAACUCCAGGUUAAUUACUGAAAACAUCUGAGGUGUGACUUAAAGGACUAUAAACUAAAAAACAAAAUAAAACAAAAACAAAACAGGGAAUAAAAAAUAAAAUAAAGAGACUUAUACGAUUUAGAAGGUCAUGAUUAGCAGAGGUAAACAUUUUACCAAAUUGGAACAAAGAUCAAAAAUAGAACCAGCUAUUUCAGUCCAACCAAACUCUGUAGAAAAAAUGUUUAAUUUAAAGUUACGACAGUUUGAGGCUCAGCAGCAUUUUAUCCGAGUUGAUUACAGUAAAUCAACUAAAACGAAUGUUUCAGAGAUAUUUCAGUGGGUGGAGUUGAAUUGAAAACUUCAAGCAAAACCUAAACUUCACUGAAUAUAGCAGAUCCUUUGUUUAUAGAAACUAAUUUGAAAAAUGUUUGUCUAAAUGAUAAAAGCAUAGUGCUAUAAGUAGCUUCUGAAUUUUCCAAUAGUCAAUAUGGAAAAAUCACAAGGUCUUUGUUGAUACUCAAAAACAAUUUUUAAACCUGUAACUAGAGCUGAAAAAAAUAACUUAGUUUAAUAUAAUCUGAGUAAUUUAGAAAAACGAGACAUUUUUUAUGGUUUUCUCACAUUUUAUAUAAUAAUAUAACUCUUUUUAAAAAUCGAAAUAAUUGUCAAGUUACAUCUGCUCCUGAUGCCCUUCAAACAUGACUUCAGCAUAACUUUUACUACUUGUGAAUAAAACUGUAUUAUUCAAUGUUCCUCGUGCCAACAUGUUAGCGGUGCUUAAAUCUGCAUCAUUGAUGUCCUAUAACUAUACAGGGGAACAACAACAAGGAGGACUCCUUAAAAUAUUGUAACCAGGAUAUGCACACUCAUCAAGUGGACUUCAAAGCCACAUAACAUGAAUUAUCACGACAUGGCCUACAAACCACCCAGAUUCAGUCAUGCAUUUACAGAAGACACCAGAAUAA